GUCUAGGUGGCGGAAUUGGUAGACGCGCUACUUUGAGGGGGUAGUGGCCGUAUUGGCCGUGUGAGUUCGAGUCUCAUCCUGGACACCA
rnacentral:tRNA from 1 species